GUGUUUGAGUAAUCGCUGCAGCAAUGCAGAGGAAAGUCCAUGCUCACACAGACUGAGAUGUCUGUAGUGUUCGUGCUUGGCGAAUUCAUAAGCCAAGGUAGCAUUAUAUGCUAACGGCAGGCAGAACGCCUAAGUCUUUGGAUAUGGCCGACAUGUCUUGAAAGUGCCACAGUGACGUAGUCAGCUUGGAAACAUGCUGAGUGGAACGAGGUAAACCCCACGAGUGAGCAACCCAAAUGUUGGUAGGGGCACCCUUGAUUAUGGGAAUUCAACCUAAAAAGGGACAGGCAAUACGCUUGUAGAUAGAUGAUUACUGCCGUUGUACGAGGCUGACCACCGCUCGCAGUGCAUCGGUACAGAACAUGGCUUACAGAA
rnacentral:RNase_P_RNA from 1 species